rnacentral:rRNA from 1 species
UACGUAGGGGGCAAGCGUUGUCCGGAAUCAUUGGGCGUAAAGCGCGUGUAGGCGGCCCGGUAAGUCCGCUGUGAAAGUCGGGGGCUCAACCCUCGAAAGCCGGUGGAUACUGUCGGGCUAGAGUGCGGGAGAGGCGAGUGGAAUUCCUGGUGUAGCGGUGAAAUGCGGCAGAUAUCAGGAGGAACACCGAUUGCGAAGGCAGCUCGCUGGAACGUAACUGACGCUGAGACGCGAAAGCGUGGGGAGCAAACAGG